GGAAGAUGAUUGAGAGCCGAGUAGCCGGUACAGAGCCAGUCCUGAUGCAGAUCUCUUUACGUUACAGAGUGAUGCAUCCUAAGGUUAGAGACCUCUUUAUGAUGGUCUUUAUAGAUGUGAACUAGCACUGUGCUUACACAGCAAAUUGAGCAGAGUUAAAUUUCUGGUGUUGAUAAAGAUAGAGUCAAUCGAACUCUAUUUGGAAUUGAUCUAAAUCUUCUCUCAGCUCGGGUGUAAGGAGUGACUACCCUCUGGCAUCGCGCGAACAAUAAUCUCGUGAGAGCAACAAUCUGGCGGGAUUCAAGUAAUUUACCUGCACAACUCAACUGGAACGCAACGAGCAGCACAACGUUUUCGAGGACAGUUUGUUCAAAAUUGAAGAAAACGUGUUGCAUUGUGUCGGAAAUGUUGGCUAAAGUGGAGAUUGGAGGGGUCCUAAAAUACGUGAAAAUUCCAGAGACUG
ensembl:lncRNA